UGCUUCGAAUUUUUAUCAGCUUGCACUUGUGUCAAUUUUCAGUUUCCAUUUGCAUUAUAGUUAAUGAUAUCACAAAAUAGUAUUGAAGUGAGACGACAUAAAUUUGUAAGUAGCUUGGUUUUAUUCGAUCUUACAUUGGGCAGGGUUUAUUGCUUGCCUGCAGGUAUAUAUAUCUUGGGUUAUUCGAUAGUGAACUGGAGGCUGCAAUGACUCGAGAGCUUAAGAUAAGGUUGCUAUAAGAUGCAACGGAAAGGAAGCAGUGACAAACUUUGAGGCCAGCUCAUAUUAGGGGUAGCUAAUUUCUCAGUCUGAUAAUGAAGCCUGUGGCAUCUACUGUAAAUACUUUAGCAGGUGCCCUAUACAAGGUAUUUUCUGCUUCACCUGAACAAGGCAGAAAGGAAUUGCGCCAAAGCAUGAUUUGACUACUUGAGGCUUGGAACUAUUUUUUCAACUGGACCAUUAGUUUGAGCAUUCUGGAUCAAGAUCACUGAGUGUUCAACCAUCUUAUUGCUUCUCCAUGGCAUCUGAGCAUCAGCCUUCUGGCCGGAGUGGUGCCAAUUUCUUUGCCAUCUGCCAGCUACUGUUAUAUUGGUUUGCAUCAAAUUGAAACCAGUUUUAGGCUCCAUGCUUGCAAAAAUCUAUCAUAAUCCACAAAGCAAUGAGGAAUAUAGGAAAAGAUUGCAGCAGAUGGUGGAGUUCUGGUCUUCUGAAGAGCUAUAUGAGCAAGAGACUAUAUCUUUAAUGAAGGGUUAGAUGAUUGGUGGGCCACAAUCAACUUUUCCUGGGGCAUCCAAGGAUUUAUCCUCUGCUUCAGCAGAUUCAGGUGCAGCAUGCUUGUGAGUUCCUUCAAAACGUUGAGAAUUAUGAAAAGAUUAAUGCCGGAAACAAAGUAUGUCGAUGUCUUACCGCUAUACUAAUUUUUACAGCUUAUUGCACUGCGCAUCUUAUAUGUGAAUUUGCUGAAGGAGGUCUGGAUGACAUAAGAAAGGUUAUUGGAGUUUUGAACUUACUAUUUGAGCCAUGGCAAAUGGAAAGGUAUGGAAAGGUCAUAGGGUAUUGACAUUAAUACUUGUAAUUUUCUUAAUUGUGUAUAGUUCAGUUGGAGUACUCAUUGCUCAAUGGCCUGGGAUUGACAUAGAAGAAAGCAGGUUCUCAAGUUUGAUGGGGUCUAUGCUAAUCACAGUCCUACUCUUGCGUCCCUAAGUUUGGUACUGUUAGAAUCAGGGGCGGAACUUGGUUAUGACAGGGAGGAGCCAUGACUCCCUCAAAAUUUUAGAAAAAUCUUGUACUCAAUAUAUCUAAAUAAUUUUGUAUAGAGAAAACCCGUUAUAUAAGAACAAUGUUGCACAAACUACGUAUUCUUGGCCGUGUUCUAGUGGUUGUGCUGUUUUGCAUAUUCCAGGAGGUACCUUGUUCAACUCCUUCCCACCUCCUUUCUAGAGUCAAAUUUUCAUAUUUAUUUAUA